UACGAAGGGGGCUAGCGUUGUUCGGAAUUACUGGGCGUAAAGCGCACGUAGGCGGAUACUUAAGUCAGGGGUGAAAUCCCGGGGCUCAACCCCGGAACUGCCUUUGAUACUGGGUAUCUCGAGUCCGGAAGAGGUGAGUGGAAUUCCGAGUGUAGAGGUGAAAUUCGUAGAUAUUCGGAGGAACACCAGUGGCGAAGGCGGCUCACUGGUCCGGUACUGACGCUGAGGUGCGAAAGCGUGGGGAG
rnacentral:rRNA from 1 species